UCUNUCACCGACGCUGAGGCUCGAAAGCGUGGGUAGCGAACAGGAUUAGAUACCCUGGUAGUCCACGCCGUAAACGCUGAGUGCUAGGUGUUAGGUCCUUUCCGGGACUUAGUGCCGACGCUAACGCAUUAAGCACUCCGCCUGGGGAGUACGACCGCAAGGUUGAAACUCAAAGGAACUGACGGGGGCCCGCACAAGCGGUGGAGCAUGUGGUUUAAUUCGAAGCAACGCGAAGAACCUUACCAGGUCUUGACAUCCCGAUGCCCGCUCUAGAGAUAGAGUUUUACUUUUUGUACAUCGGAGACAGGUGGUGCAUGGUUGUCGUCAGCUCGUGUCGUGAGAUGUUGGGUUAAGUCCCGCAACGAGCGCAACCCUUAUUGUUAGUUGCCAUCAUUAAGUUGGGCACUCUAGCGAGACUGCCGGUAAUAAACCGGAGGAAGGUGGGGAUGACGUCAAAUCAUCAUGCCCCUUAUGACCUGGGCUACACACGUGCUACAAUGGUUGGUACAACGAGUCGCAAGCCGGUGACGGCAAGCUAAUCUCUGAAAGCCAAUCUCAGUUCGGAUUGUAGGCUGCAACUCGCCUACAUGAAGUCGGAAUCGCUAGUAAUCGCGGAUCAGCACGCCGCGGUGAAUACGUUCCCGGGCCUUGUACACACCGCCCGUCACACCACGAGAGUUUGUAACACCCAAAGUCGGUGAGGUAACCAUUUAUGGGNCCA
rnacentral:rRNA from 1 species